GACAGUGUGGUGUAGUGGUUUGAGCACUGGACUAUAACUCUGGAGACUGGGUUUCAAAUCCCACUUGGCUA